GAUGAACGCUGGCGGCGUGCCUAAUACAUGCAAGUCGAGCGAACAGAUGAGGAGCUGGCUCCUCUGACGUUAGCGGCGGACGGGUGAGUAACACGUGGAUAACCUACCUAUAAGACUGGGAUAACUUCGGGAAACCGGAGCUAAUACCGGAUAAUAUAUUGAACCGCAUGGUGCAAUAGUGAAAGACGGUUUUGCGGUCACUUAUAGAUGGAUCCGCGCCGCAUUAGCUAGUUGGUAAGGUAACGGCUUACCAAGGCAACGAUGCGUAGCCGACCUGAGAGGGUGAUCGGCCACCCUGGAACUGAGACACGGUCCAGACUCCUACGGGAGGCCGCAGUAGGGAAUCUUCCGCAAUGGACGAAAGCCUGACGGAGCAACGCCGCGUGAGUGAUGAAGGUCUUCGGAUCGUAAAACUCUGUUAUUAGGGAAGAACAAAUGUGUAAGUAACUAUGCACGUCUUGACGGUACCUAAUCAGAAAGCCACGGCUAACUACGUG
rnacentral:rRNA from 1 species